rnacentral:rRNA from 1 species
GUUCGAUCAUGGCUCAGAUUGAACGCUGGCGGGAUGCUUUACACAUGCAAGCUCUAACGGCAGCACGGACUUCGGUCUGGUGGCGAGUGCGGCGAACGGGUGAGUAAUGUAUCGGAACGUGCCUAGUAGCGGGGGAUAACUACGCGAAAGCGUAGCUAAUACCGCAUACGCCCUUCGGGUAAAGUGGGGAUCUUCGGGCUCGCACUAUUAGAGCGGCCGAUAUCGGAUUAGCUAGUUGGUGGGGUAACGGCUCACCAAGGCGACGAUCCGUAGCUGGUUUGAGAGGACGACCACACAUUGGGACUGAGACACGGCCCAGACUCCUACGGAGGCAGCAGGGGAAUUUUGGGAUUAAUGGGGAACUCGAUCCAGCCAUCCCGCGUGCGAUGAAGGCCUUUCAAGUUGUAAAGCACUUUGGCAGGAAGAAAGUCGGCACGGAUAACAUCUCCCGUGCAACUGACGGUACCUGCAGAAUAAGCACUGGAUAACUACGUGCCAGCAGCCGCGUACGGAAGUGCCGUUAAUCGAAUUACGGGCGUAAAGCGUGCGCAGGCGGUUCGGAAAGAAAGAUAGUGAAAUCCCAGAGCUUAACUUUAAACUGCAUUUUUAACUACUGAGCUAGAGUGCUCAGAGGGAGGUGGAAUUCCGCGUGUAGCAGUGAAAUGCGUAGAUAUGCGGAGGAACACCGAUGGCGAAGGCAGCCUCCUGGGAUAACACUGACGCUCAUGCACGAAAGCGCGGGGAGCAAACAGGAUUAGAUGUACUCUGGUAGUCCACGCCCAAACGAUGUCAACUAGCUGUUGGGGCCUUCGGGCCUUGUAGCGCAGCUAACGUGAAGUUGACCGCCUGGGGAGUACGGCUUCGAUUAGAAAUCCUAGCAAUUGACGGGGACUCCGCACAAGCGGUGGAUGAUGUGGAGGGAUUGUUCGAUGCGACGCGAAAACCUUACCUACCCUUGACAUGUCUGGAAUCCCGGAAGAGAUUGAAAUGCAAGAGGAACCGAACACAGGUAUGGAGUGGCUGGAGCCGCUGCCAAGUCGAGAUGUUGGGUUAAGUCCCGCAACGAGCGCGUAACCCUUGUCAAUAAUAGUUGUUAGCCAGAAAGGGCACUCUAAUGAGAUCGUUUUGUGACAAACCGAGGAGGCAGGGGAUGACGUCAAGUCCUCAUGGCUCCCUUAAGCGGGUAGGGCUUCACACGUCAUACAAUGGCUGGGAGACAGAGGGUCGCCAACCCGCGAGGGGGAUAAUCCCAGAAACCCGAUCGUAGUCCGAUCGCAGUCUGCAACUUUGACUGCGUGAAGUCGGAAUCGUGCUAGUAAUCGCGGAUCAGCAUGUCGCGGUGAAUGAUGUUCCGUCUUGUACACACCGCCCGUCACACCAUGGGAGUGGGUUUUACCAGAAGUAGUUAGCCUAACCGUAAGGAGGGCGAUUACCACGGUAGGAUUCAUGACUGGGGUAAGUCGUAAUACGGGGUAG